GCUGAAACAGUAUCGUCGGAAACAGAUUUAGACCGGAGAAGAAAAAAAAAAGUAUAUUUUCUCGCGGGCUUUGUUCGUCUGACAGGACUUAACACCACUUAUGGUUUUUAAUACUGGCCCAGGAAUGAUUCUGCCUCCAUUGUGUCCUUGUGUAAGGGAAUGAGACGCAGCGUUGAGGGGAAAUAUGAUGACACAAUAUUCAUUAGCUGGGGGAACAGAAAUCUCCCUGCACUGUAGGAUCUGGUGACUAAUCCCCAAACUUACACCAAACCAAUAGGAGAGGAAGGUGUGCGGUUUGCCCAGUGGGACCUUAAUAUUUCUCUUCUGUUCCAAGAAUCACACCUAACUCUGAUGGUGUUGUACACUGAGGAGGUCUAGCUGAUGACCUUAGACUACACCUGUAGGAGCCCUGUAUUGUAUGUUAGCACCUGUAGGAACGCUCUGUUGUAUAUGUACUCUUCUCUACUCUACUCUUCUGUACUCUAUUGUAUGUACUCUACUCUACUCUACUCUACUCUACUCUACUCUACUCUACUCUACUCUACUGUACUGUACUGUACUCUACUCUACUCUACUCUAUUGUAUGUACUCUACUCUACUCUACUCUACUCUACUCUACUCUACUCUACUCUAUUGUAUGUACUCUACUCUAAUCUACUCUACUCUACUCUACUCUACUCUACUCUACUCUACUCUACUCUACCCUUCACUACUCUACUCUACUCUAUUCUACUCUAUUGUAUGUACUCUACUCUACUCUACUCUACUCUACUCUUCUCUACUCUAUUGUAUGUACUCUACUCUACUCUACUCUACUCUACUCUACUCUACCCUUCACUACUCUACUCUACUCUACUCUACUCUACUCAACUCUAUUGUAUGUACUCUACUCUACUCUACUCUACCCUUCACUACUCUACUCUACUCUAUUCUACUCUAUUGUAUGUACUCUACUCUACUCUACUCUACUCUACUCUACUCUUCUCUACUCUAUUGUAUGUACUCUACUCUACUCUACUCUACUCUACUCUACCCUUCACUACUCUACUCUACUCUACUCUACUCUACUCUACUCAACUCUAUUGUAUGUACUCUACUCUACUCUACUCUACCCUUCACUACUCUACUCUACUCUACUCUACUCUACUCUACUCUACUCUACUCUACCCUUCACUACUCUACUCUACUCUACUCUACUCUACUCUACUCUACUCUACUCUACUCUACCCUUCACUACUCUACUCUACUCUACUCUACUCUACUCUACUCAACUCUAUUGUAUGUACUCUACUCUACUCUACUCUACUCUACUCUACUCUACUGUACUCUAUUCUAUGUACUCUACUCUACUCUAUUGUAUGUUCUCUACUCUAUUGUAUGUACUCUACUCUACUCUAUUGUAUGUUAGCACAGUUCAGCCAAUUUUUUUUGUAUUUAUUCCCGAGAGCAUGAUUCAUUUUGGAAUUGUUUACAAGAUCUUUCUCCUGAAUUUACGUGCUAUGUUUAGCUGAACUACACUUUUUCUCAUGGACAUUUUACCCUAAUUUUAAUACUUGAUCAUAACAAUAACAAUUAAAAAAAUA
rnacentral:lncRNA from 1 species